AAACAACAGCAUAACUAAUGUCACCCACAACAUAAAUUUGUCAAUAUUCAAAGGCAAAGCAAGGGUCAAAUACUUUGUGGACCAUAAUCAAAUUAAACCAUUGGACCACAAAUAUAAGGUUGCAUAUAUGCACGGACAAUAAGCAUCGUCUGAAAAUUGAAAAUAGCAAAAGCAAAAUAUCCCGUUUAACAUGCACAGAAUUCAACUUCAAUAAUCACAGACGACUUGAUCUACAGUUUUUUUGUUUUUUAUCAUACGAAUUGGAACUGCAUUAAAAGUUCAGUGGCCAAGAUGAAAUAGAUACAGAGUUGCAAGCCCAACCACCAACUCAGCCUAUAAUACCAUAUCCAACCCAACAUCCCCAACCCAAACCCAAAUCAUGAAGCACUGUCAAACCGCUCAUCUCCUAUUAAGUCAGGCACCGACCAUCAUCUUUCAUGACCAACGACACUGAAGAAGAACAAAGAAAAUAUCACAUUAGAAAAGAAAGAAAACAUGCACUCAAAAGAUGUAAUACUCAGAAAGAACAACAAACCACAAGUCCAGAACAACAUGCAAUCAAUCUGACAGCCAAAAAGCAAAAUCCACGUUUCAAAAAAUCCUACCAUUAAAAUCAUAAAAUACUAUCAAAGAAAUAAAAUCUACAAAACCAAAAAAAGAACCGCAACGCAAAAAAAACCAAAAGAAAAUAGAGGGCUUUGCCACCCAAAAGCGACCGAACCCAUCCGCAAAAGGACACCACCUCGCUCUCCCUCUCUUCUUCUUUCUUCUCUCUUCAACAUAGAGUAUGGAAACUGAGGAAGCUUCCGGGACCAGAUGACAUAUAUGGUGAAAUCAAUCAAUUGGCAUUGGUAGGGUCCCCGUAAAUAAAUAUAUUCUCG
rnacentral:lncRNA from 1 species